rnacentral:rRNA from 1 species
GAUGAACGCUGGCGGCGUGCCUAACACAUGCCAGUCGAGCGAACAGACGAGGAGCUUGCUCCUCUGACGUUAGCGGCGGACGGGUGAGUAACACGUGGAUAACCUACCUAUAAGACUGGGAUAACUUCGGGAAACCGGAUCUAAUACCGGAUAAUAUAUUGAACCGCAUGGUUCAAUAGUGAAAGACGGUUUUGCUGUCACUUAUAGAUGGAUCCGCGCCGCAUUAGCUAGUUGGUAAGGUAACGGCUUACCAAGGCGACGAUGCGUAGCCGACCUGAGAGGAUGAUCGGCCACACUGGAACUGAGACACGGUCCAGACUCCUACGGGAGGCAGCAGUAGGGAAUCUUCCGCAAUGGGCGAAAGCCUGACGGAGCAACGCCGCGUGAGUGAUGAAGGUCUUCGGAUCGUAAAACUCUGUUAUUAGGGAAGAACAAAUGUGUAAGUAACUAUGCACGUCUUGACGGUACCUAAUCAGAAAGCCACGGCUAACUACGUG